rnacentral:rRNA from 1 species
UACGUAGGGGGCAAGCGUUGUCCGGAAUCAUUGGGCGUAAAGCGCGUGUAGGCGGUCCGAUAAGUCGGUUGUGAAAGUCAAGGGCUCAACCCUUGAAUGCCGACCGAUACUGUCGGGCUAGAGUCCGGAAGAGGUGAGUGGAAUUCCUGGUGUAGCGGUGAAAUGCGCAGAUAUCAGGAGGAACACCAAUAGCGAAAGCAGCUCGCUGGGACGGUAUUGACGCUAAGGCGCGAAAGCGUGGGGAGCAAACAGG